rnacentral:rRNA from 1 species
AACGAACGCUGGCGGCAUGCCUAACACAUGCAAGUCGAACGAGAUCUUCGGGUCUAGUGGCGCACGGGUGCGUAACGCGUGGGAAUCUGCCCUUUGGUUCGGAAUAACAGUUGGAAACGACUGCUAAUACCGGAUGAUGACGAAAGCCCAAAGAUUUAUCGCCAGAGGAUGAGCCGGCGUAGGAUUAGCUAGUUGGUGUGGUAAAGGCGCACCAAGGCGACGAUCCUUAGCUGGUCUGAGAGGGUGAUCAGCCACACUGGGACUGAGACACGGCCCAGACUCCUACGGGAGGCAGCAGUGGGGAAUAUUGGACAAUGGGCGAAAGCCUGAUCCAGCAAUGCCGCGUGAGUGAUGAAGGCCUUAGGGUUGUAAAGCUCUUUUACCCGGGAUGAUAAUGACAGUACCGGGAGAAUAAGCUCCGGCUAACUCCGUGCCAGCAGCCGCCGUAA